GAAAAUUUACUUUCCUAGGAGUUUGAGGCAUCUUUAUAGCAUGAUAAUCUUGAGGGGACGAUUCGGGUGUUCGAGACGGUAUCUCAAGGACAAGAUUUGAUCUCUUCCAUUGAUGAGAAUGCUCUUUUUCUUCAAUUAUCCCAGCUGUACCUUCAUCCUUUUGGACAGGAAUUGAAAUGGGUUCUUCACGUGAACCCACCUGAGUUUCUU
rnacentral:misc_RNA from 1 species